rnacentral:rRNA from 1 species
UACGUAGGUGACCAGCGUUGUCCGGAAUUAUUGGGCGUAAAGAGCUCGUAGGCGGUUUGUCGCGUCGGCCGUGAAAACUUGGGGCUUAACUCCAAGCUUGCGGUCGAUACGGGCAGACUUGAGUUCGGCAGGGGAGACUGGAAUUCCUGGUGUAGCGGUGAAAUGCGCAGAUAUCAGGAGGAACACCGGUGGCGAAGGCGGGUCUCUGGGCCGAUACUGACGCUGAGGAGCGAAAGCGUGGGGAGCGAACAGG